rnacentral:rRNA from 1 species
UACAGAGGUCCCAAGCGUUGUUCGGAUUCACUGGGCGUAAAGGGUGCGCAGGUGGGCUGAUAAGUUCGAUGUGAAAGCCCCGGGCUUAACCCUGAGCCUGCUUCCGAUACGGGCAGACUAGAGGUAUGCAGGGGGAGAACGGAAUUCCUGGUGUAGCGGUGAAAUGCGCAGAUAUCAGGAGGAACACCGGUGGCGAAGGCGGUUCUCUGGGCAUUACCUGACGCUGAGGAGCGAAAGUGUGGGGAGCGAACAGG